GUAUAUCUCUCUCUGGACAGACUGAGCUGUAUAUCUCUCAAGACAGACUGAGCUGUAUAUCUCUCUCUGGACAGACUGAGCUGUAUAUCUCUCUGGACAGUCUGAGCUGUAUAUCUCUCUAGACAGACUGAGCUCUGUAUAUCUCUCUGGACAGACUGAGCUGUAUAUCUCUCUGGACAGACUGAGCUGUAUAUCUCUCUCUAGACAGACUGAGCUGUAUAUCUCUCUCUGGACAGACUGAGCUGUAUAUCUCUCUCUGGACAGACUGAGCUGUAUAUCUCUCUGGACAGACUGAGCUGUAUAUCUCUCUCUGGACAGACUGAGCUGUAUAUCUCUCUGGACAGACUGAGCUGUAUAUCUCUCUCUGGACAGACUGAGCUGUAUAUCUCUCUGGACAGACUGAGCUGUAUAUCUCUCUCUGGACAGACUGAGCUGUAUAUCUCUCUGGACAGACUGAGCUGUAUAUCUCUCUCUAGACAGACUGAGCUGUAUAUCUCUCUGGACAGACUGAGCUGUAUAUCUCUCUAGACAGACUGAGC
rnacentral:lncRNA from 1 species